UGCAGCUCCCAUUUAAGCAGCAGUCAAGAAAGAACCCAGAGGGACAGUUUUCUUGUAUGGCCACUGUUCUGUUGUCUAUAAUUAACUUAUGACAUAUUGGGAAACACAGCU